rnacentral:rRNA from 1 species
UACGUAGGGUGCGAGCGUUAAUCGGAAUUACUGGGCGUAAAGCGUGCGCAGGCGGUUUGUUAAGACAGAUGUGAAAUCCCCGGGCUUAACCUGGGAACUGCAUUUGUGACUGCAUCGCUGGAGUGCGGCAGAGGGGGAUGGAAUUCCGCGUGUAGCAGUGAAAUGCGUAGAGAUGCGGCGGAACACCGAUGGCGAAGGCAGCCCCCUGGGCUGAGAUUGACGCUCAGGCACGAAAGCGUGGGGAGCAAACAGG